GGGGCUGUAGCUCAGAGGGAGAGCGCCUGCUUUGCAAGCAGGAUGUCAGGGGUUCGAGUCCCCUCAGCUCCACCA
rnacentral:tRNA from 1 species